rnacentral:rRNA from 1 species
GUGCCAGCAGCCGCGGUAAUACGGAGGAUGCAAGCGUUAUCCGGAAUGAUUGGGCGUAAAGGGUCCGCAGGUGGCUGUGUAAGUCUGCUGUUAAAGAGUCAUGCUCAACAUGAUCAAGGCAGUGGAAACUACACAGCUAGAGUGCGUUCGGGGCAGAGGGAAUUCCUGGUGUAGCGGUGAAAUGCGUAGAUAUCAGGAAGAACACCGGUGGCGAAAGCGCUCUGCUAGGCCGCAACUGACACUGAGGGACGAAAGCUAGGGGAGCGAAUGGGAUUAGAAACCCCCGUAGUCC